GGGGAAAAAAAGGAAAAUAGGGCAAAAUAGUAAUUUUAUUCUUUUUAAUCAGGAAAUCUGUUAUUGUAGUUUAGGGCGACUUUCUCUUAAAUAAAACUAAAACCGAGAGACUUUAUUUUAACAAAUUAAAGUUGAAUGACUGAAAUGAAAUAACCACCUAAGUUGAGGGACGGUACAAUUCACCCACUUUUCCCCUUCUUUUUAGCUGCUUCUUUCUCCUUUUUUUUUCCUUUUCCGAGGCGGGGGUGGGGGAAACAAAUA
rnacentral:misc_RNA from 1 species